GUCAGUGACAUCCGAUAAAAUUGGAAUGAUACAGAGAAGAUUAGCAUGGCCCCUGCGCAAGGAUGACACGCACAAAUUGAGAAAUGGUUCAAUUUUUU